UGUCGAACGCAGUAGCAAUACUGAGUGGCAAACGGGUGAGUAUAAUGUGGGAAUCUGCCUUUUGGUUCGGAAUAACACGGGGAAACUUGUGCUAAUACCGAAUAAGCCCUUACGGGGAAAGUUUUAAUGCCAAAAGAUGAGCCCGCACUUGAUUAGCUAGUUGGUAAGGUAAAAGCUUACCAAGGCAACGAUCAAUAGCUGUUCUUAGAGGAAGACCAGCCACAUUGGGACUGAGACACGGCCCAGACUCCUACGGGAGGCAGCAGUGGGGAAUCUUGCACAAUGGGGGAAACCCUGAUGCAGCGAUGCCGCGUGAGUGAAGAAGGCCCUUGGGUUGUAAAACUCUUUCGUCGGGGAAGAAAAUGACUGUACCCGAAUAAGAAGGUCCGGCUAACUUCGUGCCAGCAGCCGCGGUAAUACGAAGGGACCUAGCGUAGUUCGGAAUUACUGGGCUUAAAGAGCUCGUAGGUGGUUAAAAAAGUUGAUGGUGAAAUCCCAAGGCUCAACCUUGGAACUGCCAUCAAAACUUUUUAGCUAGAGUGUGAUAGAGGUAAGUGGAAUUUCUAGUGUAGAGGUGAAAUUCGUAGAUAUUAGAAAGAACACCAAAUGCGAAGGCAACUUACUGGGUCACUACUGACACUGAGGAGCGAAAGCAUGGGUAGCGAAGAGGAUUAGAUACUCUCGUAGUCCAUGCCGUAAACGAUGUGUGCUAGACGUUGGAAAUAUAUUUUUCAGUGUCGCAGCGAAAGCAUUAAGCACACCGCCUGGGGAGUACGACCGCAAGGUUAAAACUCAAAUGAAUUGACGGGGACUCGCACAAGCAGUGAGCAUGUGGUUUAAUUCGAAGAUACGCGCAGAACCUUACCAACGCUUGACAUGUUCGUCGCGAGACUAAGAGAUUAGUCUUUUCAGUUUGGCUGGACGAAACACAGGUGCUGCAUGGCUGUCGUCAGCUCGUGUCGUGAGAUGUUGGUUAAGUUCCGCACGAGCGCACCCUACUUUAGUGCACAUUUAGUGGGCACUUAAAGACUGCAGUGAUAGCUGGAGAGUGGGAUGACGUCAGUCUCAUGCGUUAUGAUGGCUACCACGUGCUACAUGAACGUACAAUGGGAUGCAAGGUGACCUUUAGCUAUCCUAAAUCGGCCUCAUUCGAUGAUCUUGUACUCAGGUAUGAACCUGAAAUGUGUGUAAUAUUCG
rnacentral:rRNA from 1 species